ensembl:lncRNA
AUGACGAGAUCAGGUGCCUUCAAACUCAGCAUUGUCUUCUUUCUCACCUUAAUCCUGUGUCUACCAGAGUUUUUUCCAGAAAUAUCUCAAGUUGAGUUUAUCUGUGAGCUGUUUGACCCUUGCACUCCUGAAAAUGAUGCACAGGUGUGUACUCCAGAUGACCCUCCAUGUGCGACAGAAAUGAUAAAUGCCAGCAGUCAACAUACACAUGGUGGAGGCUGGUAUCUGUGUAAGACUGAAAUGGAUCUGGAGCUUCUCUAUAACAACACCUCAGAGUCAGGUGGAAUGUUUUUUUUAUUAUAUUAUAUUAUAUUAUUGUCUACAGUGAUAACCAAUAAUAGUAACUCUGUGCAUGUUGUAAAUUUCAUAGGAAAGCAAGUGAUGGUGGUACUGGCAAUGAAGGCAGGCAAUCUCUCUGGAUGGAACAUUAGUGUGUUUGCGUUUCUCAACAACACUGAUCUGUACACUGGACCCCAAAAUGACCAGAGACUCUUCUCCUGCAACCUCCCACCAGACGACAGCAAAUGUCCCGAUCUAAACAUAUCUAUGCAUGAAAACACCAGCACUCCAAUACAAGACACCUCGAUUUUAAAAACCAUAACUUCCGCAAACCCAGCCAACUAUUCGCUUAAAACAACUACACUAUCUUUCCAAGCAACAGCUUCUACGGAUGGGCUGAAGUGCCAAACAAGCAGCAGCAGUUUCCUCUUUUACUACCAAGAGCAAAAUGAAACAGCAAGAUCAGCUGCAUUACAAGCGACGCAAACAAGAAAAAAUGGCCGGUGGUGUGUGAUCACUUCGGUGUGGUUGGCUCUGGUACUGACUGUGCUUGUGGUGACACUAGUGAGUGUGGGCAGUCUGAUCUUCAAGAGCAGAAAACGUAGAAAGUCCAAUUUGGCCACAUUUGUGUCUGUUUCAGCCAGUGGACAUCAGUGCAAAGAGCUCAAGAAACAAAAAGGAAAUUUAAUGAGAGAUGCCCCUGAUGUGUCCAUAGCAAUGUGCAGCAUAAGUGUAGGCACAGAAAUGGUAUCAGACGGUGCUUCUGAGUUAUUGCCAUGUCCAAGGAACUUGGAGGACUACCAUGAAGGCUACCAUGAUGGUGGUGUAUUCUCUCAGAUCUCUUCAGUGGAGAACAGAACAGACGAACACCAUAUGAAAGUUGCUGAUCUCAAGAGAAGAUUGUCACCAGUCUAUGAGAUUACAGAGACCUCAUUAGAUGAAGAAGAGAAAAGUGAAGAUGAGGAAGAGGGGCAAUGUAAUGUCUCAAUAACAAAGGAAGAGUUUAUAAAGUCAAAUCAGCUCCAACAUCUGGCAGCACAGGGCCACUGUGAACCACCGAGUAAGUGA